UUAUCGGAGAGUUUGAUCCUGGCUCAGGACGAACGCUGGCGGCGUGCCUAAUACAUGCAAGUCGAGCGGACAGAUGGGAGCUUGCUCCCUGAUGUUAGCGGCGGACGGGUGAGUAACACGUGGGUAACCUGCCUGUGAGACUGGGAUAACUCCGGGAA
rnacentral:rRNA from 1 species